rnacentral:rRNA from 1 species
UACAGAGGUCCCAAGCGUUGUUCGGAUUCACUGGGCGUAAAGGGUGCGUAGGUGGUGAGGUAAGUCGGAUGUGAAAGCUCGGAGCUCAACUCCGAAAUGGCAUUGGAAACUACCUUGCUCGAGGGAUGGAGGGGGGACUGGAAUUCUCGGUGUAGCAGUGAAAUGCGUAGAUAUCGAGAGGAACACCAGAGGCGAAGGCGGCCUACUGGGCUAGUACUGACGCUGAGCCGCGAAAGCCAGGGGAGCGAACGGG